GGAAACUCGGCUUAACCGAAGAAGUGCAUCGGAAACCGGGCGACUUGAGUGCAGAAGAGGACAGUGGAACUCCAUGUGUAGCGGUGGAAUGCGUAGAUAUAUGGAAGAACACCAGUGGCGAAGGCGGCUGUCUGGUCUGCAACUGACGCUGAGGCUCGAAAGCAUGGGUAGCGAACAGGAUUAGAUACCCUGGUAGUCCAUGCCGUAAACGAUGAGUGCUAGGUGUUGGAGGGUUUCCGCCCUUCAGUGCCUGUUCUAACGCAUUAAUGCACUCCGCCUGGGGAGUACGACCGCAAGGUUGAAUGGCAAAGGAAUUGACGGGGGCCCGCACAAGCGGUGAAGCAUGUGGUUUAAUUCGAAGCUACGCGAAGAACCUUACCAGGUCUUGACAUCUUGCGCUAACCUUAGAGAUAAGGCGUUCCCUUCGGGGACGUUAAUGACAGGUGGUGCAUGGUCGUCGUCAGCUCGUGUCGUGAGAUGUUGGGUUAAGUCCCGCAACGAGCGCAACCCUUGUUACUAGUUGCCAGCAUUAAGUUGGGGACUCUAGUGUGACUGCCGGUGACAAACCGGAGGAAGGUGGGGACGACGUCA
rnacentral:rRNA from 2 species